GAUGGAGGGGGAUAACUACUGGAAACGGUGGCUAAUACCGCAUAACGUCGCAAGACCAAAGAGGGGGACCUUCGGGCCUCUUGCCAUCAGAUGUGCCCAGAUGGGAUUAGCUUGUUGGUGAGGUAACGGCUCACCAAGGCGACGAUCCCUAGCUGGUCUGAGAGGAUGACCAGCCACACUGGAACUGAGACACGGUCCAGACUCCUACGGGAGGCAGCAGUGGGGAAUAUUGCACAAUGGGCGCAAGCCUGAUGCAGCCAUGCCGCGUGUAUGAAGAAGGCCUUCGGGUUGUAAAGUACUUUCAGCGGGGAGGAAGGUGUUGUGGUUAAUAACCGCAGCAAUUGACGUUACCCGCAGAAGAAGCACCGGCUAACUCCGUGCCAGCAGCCGCGGUAAUACGGAGGGUGCAAGCGUUAAUCGGAAUUACUGGGCGUAAAGCGCACGCAGGCGGUCUGUCAAGUCGGAUGUGAAAUCCCCGGGCUCAACCUGGGAACUGCAUUCGAAACUGGCAGGCUUGAGUCUUGUAGAGGGGGGUAGAAUUCCAGGUGUAGCGGUGAAAUGCGUAGAGAUCUGGAGGAAUACCGGUGGCGAAGGCGGCCCCCUGGACAAAGACUGACGCUCAGGUGCGAAAGCGUGGGGAGCAAACAGGAUUAGAUACCCUGGUAGUCCACGCCGUAAACGAUGUCUACUUGGAGGUUGUGCCCUUGAGGCGUGGCUUCCGGAGCUAACGCGUUAAGUAGACCGCCUGGGGAGUACGGCCGCAAGGUUAAAACUCAAAUGAAUUGACGGGGGCCCGCACAAGCGGUGGAGCAUGUGGUUUAAUUCGAUGCAACGCGAAGAACCUUACCUGGUCUUGACAUCCACAGAACUUUCCAGAGAUGGAUUGGUGCCUUCGGGAACUGUGAGACAGGUGCUGCAUGGCUGUCGUCAGCUCGUGUUGUGAAAUGUUGGGUUAAGUCCCGCAACGAGCGCAACCCUUAUCCUUUGUUGCCAGCGGUCCGGCCGGGAACUCAAAGGAGACUGCCAGUGAUAAACUGGAGGAAGGUGGGGAUGACGUCAAGUCAUCAUGGCCCUUACGACCAGGGCUACACACGUGCUACAAUGGCGCAUACAAAGAGAAGCGACCUCGCGAGAGCAAGCGGACCUCAUAAAGUGCGUCGUAGUCCGGAUUGGAGUCUGCAACUCGACUCCAUGAAGUCGGAAUCGCUAGUAAUCGUGGAUCAGAAUGCCACGGUGAAUACGUUCCCGGGCCUUGUACACACCGCCCGUCACACCAUGGGAGUGGGUUGCAAAAGAAGUAGGUAGCUUAACCUUCGGGAGGGCGCUUACCACUUUGUGAUUCAUGACUGGGGUGAAGUCGUAACAAGGUAACCGUAGGGGAACCUGCGGUUGGAUCACCUCCUUACCUUAAAGAAGC
rnacentral:rRNA from 1 species